CUGGGGCCAAAUUUUCGUUUCCCUGCGCGCGCUUAGUAAUCUCCGGUCUUUAUCUCUCAUCCCCUUCCGGACAAACCCUAGACUUCUCUCACCUCCUCCGCUCUCGCAUCUCGCCCUCGCAAAAUCAGGCGUGCGCCGCCGCUCGCUCUCCCCCGGCUCCCCCUCGCCCGCGUACGCCCGCUCUCCCAUCGCCGUGUCUCCACUCUCCAUUCGGGCUCCCUCGUCCAUCUAGCUAUUGGCGCUGCCCUCCCUCUUGUGUCAUCAGGCGCCAGCGCCGGCGCCGCCGCACUCCAUUCCCAUAGCCAGCCGCCGGAGCUGGUGUCUCCUCCAUCCUCCUGGUCGGUCUAACCGCCACGACAUUGGAGGGGAAUGGGGGUUGUCAGAUCCGGCUGUUCCCUACCUUGGGGCGACUGGAUCCGUCCAGCGCCGCAUGGUCCUCCUGCAGAUCCCCAUUUUCAGUGAUAAACGGGUGCGAGGGCCACACGUCCAGGGGUGGGCAGGCUUGUUGUACUUCCCCUUUGCGGCGGUACUCAUUCUCGCUGACCCUCGCAUCUCCUCAAUAUACAAGCUUUACAGAAGUGAUGGUGGCAAACGCAUUUGGAUAAGAUAAAUCUUAAUUUGGGCUAUGAUGGAGUGAGUGGUCUCUGUUGUUUAGCUAUGUUUUAGCUGCUUAAUGUUCUGUGACAAAAUACUUUAUGUUAAGUUCCUGUAUUGCAAUUUAGACGGUCUUGUCUUAAGGGGGCAUAAUAAUCUUUAGUUCCUGUAUGAUGAGGUGAUCUAAUCAUCUAAGGCUUCCUGCUGCAAUAUUGAAUAGUAGUGUAAAGGACAUUGAAUGUGGGCAGGUUAGUAUUUUUGAAUCUUCUAGUAUGUAUUCACAUUUUUAUUGCACUACUAGGCCACCUCAGUUUAUAGAUUUUAGUAAAUUAGCAAUAUACACAAUGAAAAGAAAACUGUUGUGUUAAGGAAAUUCUUUAUUUGCCAUCCAGAAUGAAAAGAACAUGAGGUUCAGUGCAUCCAGUUAAUGUGUUGCCCCUUUGUUUUUUAAGAUCAAACUAGUAUUUCACAGCUGAGUUUAAAGAGGGAAUAAAUUCUGAUUUACUCGGUAUACAUACGCUAUUUUGUUUGGCCAACCUGUGCUGCUUUUUACCCAUGCAUGCUGUUCUAGUUGCGGCAUCUGCUAUGCUCUGAUUAACUGGCACAGCUACUCUGGUAUGAUUAGCUAUUUUGGACUUUGGUUAGGAUUGGAGGCUGUGCUGUUUGGCUAUUGGUUUUGCAAACCAUGACUAUUAGAGGGCAGCAAACAUCUGAUUAUACACUAAUUGCUUUUGUAUUUCCUUUUCUUUAAUCUUAUCUUAACAUGCACUGUUCAAGAACUAAUGCAUGUACCUCACUUGUUUUCAGAUUCCUCAUACUGGAUAGUGUCCUUAACCUUGGUGGAUAUGGGGCUGUAGCAUAUGAUUAGGUCUGAACUGCUAAGGGUGGUGCUACUGCCUCUGGUUUUUCCUUAGUUCAAUUUUAUCACCUCUUAAUCAAGUGAUUUAUGUGAAGCCAAAAAGGACUUGCCACCCUUAGGAUCGUCAAUGUACAAAUUCUUUCUUAGCUUUUUUUUUUUUAAUUCACAAUCCUCUGUUAAAAUGCUGAGGAGAAUGGUCAAUUGGUCAUGUACAUGAUGAAUGAAUGAAUGAAAUGAAUCAGACAUUUGAGGGUGGUUGUCAUUGUGAAUGUCAUUAGCUAUUGAAAUUGGUAUGCUCAUGUAAACAGGUGUAAUGGACAAUAAUGUGAAAUAGUUUUCUUUUUAA